rnacentral:rRNA from 1 species
AGAGUUUGAUCCUGGCUCAGGAUAAACGCUGGCGGCGUGCCUAACACAUGCAAGUCGAACGCGGCUUGAAUAAAGCCGAGUGGCGGACGGGUGAGGAACACGUGGGUUAUCUACCUUGAGGUGAGGAAUACCGGCGAGAAAUCGCCGACAAUACCGCAUGACCUGAGCAAUCAGGAAAGCUGAGCAAUCGGCGCCACAAG